GAGUUCAUCCUCCGAUUGCUCAUGCUUUAGCUCCGAGAUAAGUCUUGACUCCUGGAGGAGGGGUUCCAGCUUUAGCUGUAGCCAUACUUCCAAAGUUCGUCUUUGUUUUCUUUUCUGCAGGCUUCAAAAUUUGGAACGAACACAUCAAAGUUUCAUCAACACUCAUCAUGGCACCCGCAUUAUCAAAUUCACCACAGUAAUUGGGUGCUGAGAAU
rnacentral:misc_RNA from 1 species